GAUGAAGAACGCAGCGAAAUGCGAUAAGUAAUGUGAAUUGCAGAAUUCAGUGAAUCAUCGAAUCUUUGAACGCACAUUGCGCCCGCCAGUAUUCUGGCGGGCAUGCCUGUCUGAGCGUCAUUUCAACCCUCAUGCCCCUAGGGCGUGGUGUUGGGGAUCGGCCAAAGCCCGCGAGGGACGGCCGGCCCCUAAAUCUAGUGGCGGACCCGUCGUGGCCUCCUCUGCGAAGUAGUGAUAUUCCGCAUCGGAGAGCGAUGAGCCCCUGCCGUUUAACCCCCAACUUUCCAAGGUUGACCUCAGAUCAGGUAGGAAUACCCGCUGAACUUAAGCAUAUCAAUAAGCGGAGGA
rnacentral:misc_RNA from 1 species